rnacentral:rRNA from 1 species
ACGAACGCUGGCGGCUGCUUAACACAUGCAAGUCGAACGGAGUGGCGAAAGGGUGAGUAACGCGUGAGCAACCUGCCUAUGACAGUGGGAUAGCCUCGGGAAACCGGGAUUAAUACCGCAUAGUCAUAGAUAGGUUCGCGUCUGAUUAGCUAGUUGGUGAGAUAACAGCUCACCAAGGCGACGAUCAGUAGCCGGUCUGAGAGGCUGAACGGCCACAUUUGAACUGAGACACAGUCCAAACUCCUACGGGAGGCAGCAGUGGGGAAUAUUGCACAAUGGGGGAAACCCUGAUGCAGCGACGCCGCGUGAACGAAGAAGGUAUUCGUAUCGUAAAGUUCGGUCCUAUGGGAAGCAGUACCAUAGAAGAAAGCUCCGGCUAAAGACGUGCCAGCAGCCGCGGUAAUAC